rnacentral:rRNA from 1 species
UACGUAGGGUGCGAGCGUUGUCCGGAAUUACUGGGCGUAAAGAGCUCGUAGGUGGUUUGUCGCGUUGUUCGUGAAAACUCACAACUCAAUUGUGGGCGUGCGGGCGAUACGGGCAGACUGGAGUACUGCAGGGGAGACUGGAAUUCCUGGUGUAGCGGUGGAAUGCGCAGAUAUCAGGAGGAACACCGGUGGCGAAGGCGGGUCUCUGGGCCGUUACUGACGCUGAGGAGCGAAAGCGUGGGGAGCGAACAGG